GUAGGACGCGAGCGUUAUCCGGAGUUACUGGGCGUAAAGGGUGGGCAGGCGGCCGUGUCAGAUGGGUGUGAAAUCUCCCGGCUCAACCGGGAGGGGCCACUCGUGACUGCACGGCUGGAGGGCAGCAGAGGCGCGUGGAAUUCCGGGUGGAGUGGUGAAAUGCGUAGAGAUCCGGAGGAACACCAGAGGCGAAGGCGGCGCGCUGGGCUGCAACUGACGCUGAACCACGAAAGCCAGGGUAGCGAACGGGAUUAGAAACCCCGGUAGUCCUGGCCGUAAACGAUGUCAACUGGGCCUUGGUAUGGAAGCAUAUCAGGGCCGGAGCGAACGCGCUAAGUUGACCGCCUGGGGAGUACGACCGCAAGGUUA
rnacentral:rRNA from 1 species